UACGUAGGGUGCGAGCGUUAAUCGGAAUUACUGGGCGUAAAGCGUGAGCAGGCGGUGAUGUAAGACAGAUGUGAAAUCCCCGGGCUCAACCUGGGAACUGCACUUGUGACUGCAUCGCUGGAGUGCGGCAGAGGGGGAUGGAAUUCCGCGUGUAGCAAUGAAAUGCGUAGAUAUGCGGAGGAACACCGAUGGCGAAGGCAAUCCCCUGGGCCUGCACUGACUCUCAUGCACGAAAGCGUGGUGAGCAAACAGGAUUAGAAACCCGCGUAGUCC
rnacentral:rRNA from 1 species